rnacentral:rRNA from 1 species
UACAGAGGUCUCAAGCGUUGUUCGGAUUCAUUGGGCGUAAAGGGUGCGUAGGUGGCGUCGUAAGUCAGGUGUGAAAUUUCGGAGCUUAACUCCGAAACUGCAUUUGAUACUGCGGUGCUUGAGGACUGGAGAGGAGACUGGAAUUUACGGUGUAGCAGUGAAAUGCGUAGAUAUCGUAAGGAAGACCAGUGGCGAAGGCGGGUCUCUGGACAGUUCCUGACGCUGAGGCACGAAGGCCAGGGGAGCAAACGGG